CAGACUCCCAAGCACCUGCCCAUCCCACUCCAUAGCCCAGCCACCCACUCAUCUACCAUAUGCCCAUCCCAGUAAGCAAGCCAACCACUAGAAUUUGACUGGCAUGCACCUGUGACUUACAUAAACCAGACCUCUACAUAGCCUACAUGUCUUCAUUUUGCUGAAGACUGCCCAUCAUCCUAGCCUGUUAUCUGUGAUAAAGCACACUGAAGUUAGGUAUGGAAUGCAUCCUUAUCAUGAAUGCUCUACACCUCCAUCUCCAUCUCCCACAACCUAGGUAACAGCUUUGAGA